rnacentral:rRNA from 1 species
UGGGGAAUUUUGGACAAUGGGCGAAAGCCUGAUCCAGCAAUGCCGCGUGUGUGAAGAAGGCCUUCGGGUUGUAAAGCACUUUUGUCCGGAAAGAAAUCCUUGGCUCUAAUACAGUCGGGGGAUGACGGUACCGGAAGAAUAAGCACCGGCUAACUACGUGCCAGCAGCCGCGGUAAUACGUAGGGUGCAAGCGUUAAUCGGAAUUACUGGGCGUAAAGCGUGCGCAGGCGGUUUGCUAAGACCGAUGUGAAAUCCCCGGGCUCAACCUGGGAACUGCAUUGGUGACUGGCAGGCUAGAGUAUGGCAGAGGGGGGUAGAAUUCCACGUGUAGCAGUGAAAUGCGUAGAGAUGUGGAGGAAUACCGAUGGCGAAGGCAGCCCCCUGGGCCAAUACUGACGCUCAUGCACGAAAGCGUGGGGAGCAAACAGGAUUAGAUACCCUGGUAGUCCACGCCCUAAACGAUGUCAACUAGUUGUUGGGGAUUCAUUUCCUUAGUAACGUAGCUAACGCGUGAAGUUGACCGCCUGGGGAGUACGGUCGCAAGAUUAAAACUUCAAAUGAAUUG